rnacentral:rRNA from 1 species
GAUUAUGGAGCAGCGAACGGGUGAGUAACACGUGAACAACCUGUCCUCACGUUCCGAAUAAUUGGGAGAAAUCCCUUGUAAUGCGGGCGAGGAACUUGAUGGGGCAUCUCAUCGAGCGGGAACGCGCAAGCGGCGCGAGGAGGGGUUCGCGGCCUAUCAGUUUGUUGGUGGGGUAACGGCCUACCAAGACGACGACGGGUAGCUGGUCUGAGAGGAUGGUCAGCCACAUUGGAACUGAGAUACUGUCCAGACUCCUACGGGAGGCUGCAGUCGAGAAUCUUGGGCAAUGCACGAAAGUGUGACCCAGCGACGCCGCGUGAAGGAUGAAGGCCCUCUGGGUCGUAAACUUCUUUUAUGGGGAAAGAAAAGCCUUCGGGCCUUGACGGUACCCCAUGAAUAAGCCACGGCUAACUACGUGCCAGCAGCCGCGGUAAUACGUAGGUGGCAAGCGUUGUCCGGAUUUACUGGGCGUAAAGCGAACGCAGGCGGAUACUUAAGUAGAGAGUGAAAGGCGGGAGCUCAACUCCUGGACUGCUCCCUAUACUGGGUGUCUUGAGUGGCGGAGAGGAAGAUGGAACAAAUCGUGUAGCGGUGAAAUGCGUAGAUAUGAUUUGGAACACCAAUGGCGAAAGCAAUCCUCUGGACGCAAACUGACGCUGAGGUUCGAAAGCCAUGGUAGCGAACAGGAUUAGAUACCCUGGUAGUCAUGGCCAUAAACGAUGUUCACUAGGUGUCGGGGCUUCGCCUCGG